CGAGCACGCGCGUGUGGCAUAUCAAUAAGCGGAGGAAAAGAAACUAACAAGGAUUCCCUUAGUAACGGCGAGUGAAGCGGGAAGAGCUCAAAUUUGAAAUCUUCAAGGUUCUACCUUGACGAAUUGUAGUUUAUAGAAGUGUUUUCUGUUAGUGAGUGGCUAAAAGUUCUUUGGAAUAGGACAUCAUAGAGGGUGAGAAUCCCGUAUUUGAUCAUUUCUUCUAGCUGUGUGAUACACUUUCAACGAGUCGGAUCGUUUGGGAAUGCAGUCCAAAAUGGGUGGUAAAUUUCAUCUAAAGCUAAAUAUUGGCGAGAGACCGAUAGCGAACAAGUACCGUGAGGGAAAGACGAAAAGAACUUUGAAAAGAGAGUUAAACAGUACGUGAAAUUGUCAAAAGGGAAGCGUUUGACACCAGUGUUGUUUUUCCGAAAAUCAAUUACGAAUGUUUUAUUUUUGAGGAGUUAUGACUUCAUCGGCUUGCUCCUUUCUUUACGAAACUUUCUUAAUGCACUUUUCGGUUAACAAGUCAACAUCAAUUUCUUUUGUUGUAAAAGGGUAUGAGGAAGGUGGCUUUCUUUUCGGAGAAAGUGUUUAUAGCCUUGUGCCUCUACAAUCGGAGAGAUUGAGGUCUGCAGCGUAGAUCCUUCGGGGUUAGAUACGUUUGUGCUAAGUUAUAGCUUUUCAUAGACAACUUGUUGACUAUGUUUAGUCUUGUAGCUUACUCGCUGACGCUAUUUUACCUACGCUUAGGAUGUUGAGCGCAUGUCUCUCUC
rnacentral:rRNA from 1 species